CUCACUGUCAGUUGUGUCAUCAUCAUGCUUCUAAUUAGUUCAUUUUUAUUUGGUCGAUAUGUCUUCGACAAGCUACACGGGUCAUUCACAUUCGAUGACUUUCCUCUCUUAGAAUGUAUUUUUAUCACAGCAGACACGUGUCAGGGGGAAGACACAGAACUCUGGAGCCACACAUCUCCCCGACAUCUCUACCGCUUCCCUGUGUUCUGAUUAGGAGCGUUAGCUAAUAAUCAGAUAACGGCUUUCUUGUUAGGAUGCAGCUGUGUGGGACAACGCUUGACGUUUCUCCUCUCCCUCUCUCAACAUGUGAAGAUUUUGCAUUUUGUUUAUGAUUUCUUUGUUGGAAAGACCCUGCUGGAACCGAACAUGUCCUGCAUUUUGACACGGGAUAAAAGACUGCGGCAGACUCUGUUUAGGUCUGUGAAGUGGGAAUUAUGAAUCUAUUUCACCUAAGAAACAAACAAGCAGGCCCUUGCUUGCCUAGCAGGUGGACCCCCAAGUGCCUUUGUGGCCCGACCUGCAGAGAAGUGUAAGAUGAGGUGCGGGGCCCAAGCACUUGGGCCUUCUUCUACUGCUUUCCCAGGCCACAGCAGAGAGCUGGAUCAGAAGAGGAGCAGCAGCCAGGACUCGAACCGGCGCCCAUAUGGAAUGCUGGUGCCACAGGCAGAGGCUUAACCUACUAUGUCAUCGCGCCGGCCCCAGUACAUUAAAUUUAAUGCAGGCAUAACUGAAGGCAUGUAGAUUGACUAGAAGUUUCUUGCAGUUGAAGGAUAGUGUUCUGGCCUACAGGAAUGGCAGUGGGCACGAGAGCAGUGGACAACUUUCAGAGAAUUGGAAGCUACAGAACUAGUGACUGGCAGAAAUGGGUAGAUGGUGAGGGAGAGUGAGAGACAAGGGUGCGACCCAAUUGCUGACUUGGGGGCGGGGCAGAGGCAGAGAAGUAGGUGGAUGUGGAGAGAUCUGUUCUGCUUUCUCCUCCAGGCUGGUUGGAUCCAAGUGGAAAUGUUGAGUAAGUCUGAGCUUAGGACGGAAUCUGGGUAAAGCAUCUAAUUAGAGAGUAAUUUUAUUUCUUUUUGCUUUACUGCUCUUUGGAAGUACUGGAGACUAAUUUUUGUAUGUGAUGGUAAGGCAGUCCACACAUUUUCUUUUUUAAAGAUUUAUUUUAUUUAUUUGAAAGACAGAGUUACAGAGAGGGGUAGAGCCAGAGAGAGGUCUUCCAUCCGCUGGUUCAUUCCCCAGAUGGCCACAACUGCAGGAGCUGUGCUGAUCUGAAGCCAGGAGCCAGGAGCUUCUUCUGGGUCUCCCACGUGGGUGCAGGAGCCCAAGCACCUGGGCCAUCUUCCACUGCUUUCCCAGGCUAUAGCAGAGCUGGGUUGGAAGAGGAGCAGCUGGGACUCAAACUGGCACCCAUAUGGGAUGCCGGGGUUUCAGGCCAGGGCUUUAACCUGCAGCGUCACAGUGCCGACCCCUAAUCCACACAUUUUCAAGAGAUAGCCAAGGAAGAAUGAAUCUGGAGAGAAGGGGAUAUUCUAAAGAUACUGGAGGUCAGCAACAAGCAUGAGUAGAUGGACACGGGAGGUAACAGAAAGAGGAAGGAAACCCAGCAGACUGUGGGGCUGGGAAGACAGAGGGUGCCUGGAUGAGAGGGGCGGGGUCUCUUCUAUCGAGUGCUACUGAGAUAUAAGGCAAGACUUCUGCUGAGCUCUUAAUUGAUGACUUCAAUUCUCUUUGGGCAGCAGGGGAGAAAGUUUUCGGAUGAGAGUGAGUUUCAAGAGAUUUGAGCACAGAGUUUCCGGGCAGGUUUCCAGCAUGAUGUAGGAGGCAGGGUGAGCUAAUCUAUGCAAUGCAUUUUUGUAUGAUGCCUGGCAGGGGUUAAGUACACAGUCCAUGCUGCCAGCUACGAUAAUGGUACCGAAUUGUUCAGCGCUGUGGUUUCUCUCUCACAGUGAUUAGCACCCGGGAUGCCAGCACAAGACAGCUACAGGAUGCAUGCAUUCUGAGGGGGAUUUUGUGGAGAAGCAAGAGAGAGGAACUAGAGAAUUGUGGAAGUUGGCGAGUGUGAUAGAUGUAUUGUUCCGUGAAAUCUUUACUGGAUUGAAACAUUGAAUUAAAAAAAUACAAGGACAACAGAGGGCGAGUGGGAGCUCUGAGGAUGAGCGGGAGCUGCCAGACAAAGAGACAGUAGGGGUCCUUGGGCCAGAAGGUCUCGAUGGUGUUAAGGCGCUGGUGUGGUGGGAGUGCUGGAGUGAAGGAAGUACGGGAGGCUGAGGGGUGGGAAGUGAAUGAGCAGCCAUCCCCAGUGGCAGUCCUCGGGGACGCCAGGGAGGGUCCCUGGCAGUGAGCUGACCCAGGACCGAGAACCCAAGGGGUAGGACCUGAACGUUGCACAGUCACUCAGGAUGACAAUAGCACUCGGGGGAGAGGGGAGAACCAGGAAGCUGGCAGUGACAGAUAUAUUGUUCAGGCCAUAGUUGGGAAUGGGUGAUAUGUCUGAGACUGGUUUAUCAGUCAGGGUUCUCCGGAGAAAUAGAACUAAUAGGAUUAACCAUCAGCUGUCUGUCUGUCUGUCUGUCUAUCUAUCAUAUCUAUCUCUAUCUAUUUAUCUAUCUAUCUAUCUAUAUAUAUAUAUAUUUUGACAGGCAGAGUUAGAUAGUGUGAGAGAGAGACAGAGAGAAAGGUCUUCCUUCUGUUGGUUCACCCCCAAAAUGGCCACUAUGGCUGGUGUGCUGUGCUGAUCCGAAGCCAGGAGCCAGGUGCUUCUCCUGGUCUCCCAAGGGGUGCAGGGCCCAAGCACUUGGGCCAUCCUCCACUGUGCUCCCGGGCCACAGCAGAGAGCUGGACUGGAAGAGGAGCAGCUGGGACAGAACCGGUGCCCUGAAUGGGACUAGAACCUGGAGUACCGGCGCCGCAGGCGGAGGAUUAGCCUAGUGAGCCGCGGCGCCAGCCUAUCUAUCUUUUGCAACUUUUGCAACUGAUCAAGGUAUCUGGGUAUAACCCCUGUAGAUGUUCAAUGCAAAAGUCCAGUUGGAUGCCCCAAGAGACAUACCAGCCAAUCACUUGGGUUCUACAUGCAACUCCUCCUUGGAUCCACUGUAUAGGAAAACUCUACUAGGGACAGGAUUCGCCACUCCUAUCAACGUCUCCUCUGUUUGCCAGCUGGCCGUUUUGCGCCAGGGUGUCUGGGUGAGAAUUGCAGUGUGUGGACUCUGUUAUGUUCACUUGGAUGGAAGCUUCCUGACUACCACCCAGCCACCCCUGGACCAGGACUUCUGAUCUGACGGUGAGCACAGACGCCCUGGGGGCAGGGGCCGUCACUGAAGGAGGUGGUGACAGAGGCCAGUCUCUCCUCCACACCAACCUUUUGCAGGUGUUCAACGUGUGUUUUUGUAUUUGUUUUAACUUUAUGAUGGUGUG